GAGACCUGCCAAUAUUUGAGCGGGUGGUAAGGGGCUGGGUUAUAGGGGCAGAGACCUGCCAUUUAUUUGAGUGGGUGGUAAGGGGUUGGGUUACAGGGACAGAGACCUGUCAUUUACUUGAGAGGGAGGUAAGGGGCUGGGUUAGAGGGACAGAGACCUGCCAUUAUUUGAGUGGGUGGUAAGGGGUUGGGUAGACUAAGGCUUAGUCUCUGAAUAUAUAUAAUUUUG